UUAUUGAUGAUGACACUUUUGCUUCCACUUUAGGAAAAUUUUGAACUAAUUAGUGAUCACUGUAAUGUCAUCCUCAUCCUCUACUAUUGAAUUAU